rnacentral:tRNA from 1 species
GGAGAGAUGGCUGAGUGGCUGAAGGCAACGGUUUGCUAAACCGUCAUACGGGUUAAUUCUGUAUCGAGGGUUCGAAUCCCUCUCUCUCCGCCA